rnacentral:lncRNA from 1 species
GUGAGAAACUCAUUCCCCAGAGCAACAGUGUAGAGAGGUGGAACCUGAUGGGAGCCCCGCCCUCACAGACAAACUCCUGUAGCUGUCAAGACAGCUUGGGCAUGGAUUCCUCUCUGCCUUCUGCCAUGUGGACACGUGGCCUUCCUCCCCUCUCUCCUCCGGGGAAUGCAGUGUUUGGGCGCCAUCUUGGAAGCAGAGAUCAGGCCUCACCAGACACCAAGCCUGCUGGCACCAUGACCCUGGACUCCCAACCUCCACAGCUGGGAAAGAACUCUGCUCCCUAGAAAUUACCCAGGCUCGCUCAGGCACCCACUGACUCCAGCCUCAUGGAACCACCAUUCACCAGGCUUGAGGGGAGGAUGUCACGGCGCGCUGCUCCCUUCGGUGCCAGCCAGGAUGGGGCCGGGUGGGUGCAGCUGGUGAAAAGAAAUGCAGCCCCCCAGCCCCUGCAGACCAAGCCGAACAGCCCAGCUCGCGGGUGGAUCACAGGGCACCCAGCAGCCGCCUUCCCUCCGGAAGAGCCAAGAAGGCUUCCAAGACCAGAAAUGCCCCCAGUGUGGCUGUGCCUGUCCCCGGUGCCCCGCCAGCUGGGGGGCAGCAUACCCAAACAGAUGCACCCUGCCCAUGAUGGCACCCCAGGGACCCCCAUCCUCAGGACCCUCCAGUCGUUCAAGCUGGAAUUGGCAGGUUUCUGCCUGUAUAGGCAUCGGCUUCAGAGUCUCAGGUGCUGCUUGGCAGGAAAAUGCAGGGCAGGAGGGGCUGGGCCUCAGCUCGAGGCUCCCAGGUGCAGCCCCCCACUCCACUGCAGGGCCCAGGGGGGCCAAGAACAGCCACAACAACAACAAAAGCCAAACUGGGAACGGAAUCGUGGAAAAAACCCUCAUAGGCUUUUGGGAACUUACAAAGAAAUGCCCACAUCCAUUCUACUAACAUGGCAUCUACUAACGUGGCAUCUACUAGGAUGCCACAAAACAGACAAAUCCUUCCACGUAAGGCUGGACACGUGUCAGGGCGGUGUCUCAAAGCUGGGCCACAGGCAGCAUCCACGGCCAGGCCACUGGGUGGAGGAGACGGUGCUGGGGAGGAGCCGGAGGGAGGGGCCGGGGCUGUUCCCUUAGGCAGAACGGCUCACCUGUGGUGUGCGCACAGCAGGAUUGUGGGGACACAAGAUGCCCCCUUCAUUCAUCAGUUACUUGUAUUCUUUGUAUGAAACACCUGCCGAUAAAAUGUGAAAAAGGGGC